GUACACUUGAACAUUUAUUAGCAAUAACCAAUUGACAAUUUUUAAUACCUUGUUAUCAUCAAAACUUAUUAAGGUUCAUUAUGAAAAACAUUUUGUUCCAACAAAACGCACUCUUGACCCCCUAACUUUAUAAAAGUUGCGAUUUUGGCCCCCUAUUAAAAAAAUAACAAUCUAGCCCCCUAACUUUACCCCCUUUUACAAGUGGCCAAUUUUGACCGGUCAACACCUACGUGGCACCUUGCUUAAGUGAGAAGGAUGUCAAUAUCACUAUUUUUAUAAAAUUAGGGGACCAAAAAUACGUUUAAGCCAAAUAAAAACAAACAAUAUAAAUAAAUUCAACUUUGUUGAAUUAUUAUUGGUUCCGGUGUGUCGUGUACAUAAUUAGAGCUUCAUAGAUUUUGAACAACCAACUGAAACGUCACAAUUCGCAAUCACCGCCAAUAGCCUGGAAAAAAAAUGAGAAAUCCAAAACUAACAUUAAAUAACAAAACCUAACCUUUUCAUUGCAAAGAAUGUCAUUGCUUUAAUCUAGA
rnacentral:lncRNA from 1 species